rnacentral:rRNA from 1 species
AUGGAUCACGGCGGAGGUGGUCGUGGGAUGGCAGGGGACGAGGCGGCGGCGGCUUCCACCAACCAGAAGACCGAAAGCUUCGGAGGCUGCUCCAACAGCGUGAAGAAAAUUUACCCCAUUGACAGUCCAAUUAAGAAAAGAAAGUCACAGUAUGACCUCAGUGACACAAGGCUGUCAUCGCUGAAAUACAAGUUUCAGGACCGACCAACUUCACAGGAGGAUGAGACUGCAAGAACAGAAAGCUUAGGAGGUGAUGACAUUUUCGUCAACAAGAACUGUAAUGUGGACAUGGUCAAUGCUUACAAGGGGUUGGACUCGUGUGAGAAUACUCAAAGCCUUUUAGGUGGUUGCAUCGAAGUCGACUCCAUAAAUGGAAUCGAGAGCCAGUCUAUGAGAAAACGGGCAUCUGCAUCCAGCAGCUCAAGCAACAACAUUUCAUCGGACACUUACAGUUCUUUUCAUAGCUAUGGCACCAAAGAGACUGACAGCUGGGUGAGGCCACACCUGGAGCAUGAUGGCUCAGGUUUGCUGCUGCAAGCAUACGAUGAUGACAUUGAGAAAAUCUGCGCUGUGAUGAAUGAGCUAGCAGGUGGUGGUGUCGAUGGUUCUGCUGAUCGUAUCAUGGAUGAGACGCUUUACUCGAAUGGCGUCGAUGAUUUCAUGAUUCUGCCAGCAGGCAAGAAUGGGGAGAAGAAGAAGCAGCUAACCAUCGACCAAGAAUUCGAGCAGUACUUCUCAAAACUCAUGCUUUAG